CCAGUCUCAUGUUGAAGAUUUUUAUGUAGAAGGCCUUCCCAAAGGAAUUUUUUUUUUUUUUUUUUUUUUUUUUGAGAUGGAGUUUUCGCUCUUAUCGCCCAGGCUGGGGUGCAAUGGUGCAACCUUGCUGGUCACUGCAACCUCUGCCUCCUGGGUUCAGGAAAUUCUCCUGCCUUAGCCUCCCAAGUCGCUGGGAUUACAGGUGCCCACCACCACACCAGGCUAAUUUUUGUAUUUUUAGUGGAGAUGGGGUUUCACCAUGUUGGCCAGACCAGUCUUGAACUCCUGACGUCAAGUGAUCUUCCCGCCUCGGCCUCCCAGAGUGCUGAGAUUACAGACAUGAACCCAUGCCUGGCCAGGAAUUUUGUUUUUUAGGAAGGCUUUCUACUAAUGGAAUUCCUGGCCUUGAGAGGAUAUUACUUUCGAAGGAAAGGAUUUUUUUGUUAUUAAAAGAGCCACCUAAGCUGAAGAUUCCCUUGAGAACAAGUACUGUCCUGUGGUUUCAUGGCCUUUCUUCCAUUUGUGGUUCUUGUGAAGUGGAAUUUAAAU
rnacentral:lncRNA from 1 species